GGCCUAGCGAACUGGUUGGCCUUGGCAACAUUCCUUUCAGUCUCCUCAACAAGCUGUUUAACAAUAGUCACCAACCAAACAGUAAUGGAUCUCUUCUCUAGAAAACGCAGUUGCUUUAAAGCUUUUGCAAUUGAAACAAUAUCUCCACCAUGCAAUGUUCUGAUUCCAUCCACUGACUUGAGAGUAUCUCCUUCUGUUCCAUUUCUAUGAUGAGGGCAGCCAACCCUGUUAUCACAUACAUGACUUGUAGAAGCUCCCUGGCUACCCUCAAUCCUAGCAGCUGUUAACUGAGCUAGACUUUUACGCACAACCUUUUGCCUACCCUUGGAGACCUGUUUGCAUGACUUCUGUGGUAGAUCAACUUUGGAAGAAUCUAAGGAUUUGGGACCCUUCCACAUCCACCAUGUAUCUUCAUCAUCUGAUAUUGGAGAAUGACCCUGAAAACAAAAGCUCUUUUCUUCAUUUAACUUUUGUCUCUUUGCCCUUCUACAAUCCUCGCACCCUGGUGUACCUUCUACUAAAUCCAUUUUGUUGGAUAUUGACUCCGCAGCCCUCUUAACACUUCCCUGAGAUUCAUCCAGUCCCAUGUCUGAAGAUGUGGACAGGUUAGGAAUCUGUAACAGCAAUAAAAUGGAAGCCUUCAGUUCCCCAAUAUCGGCAUUGGACUUGACCUUUUUAGAAGUCAAAGUAUCUGAACAGGACUGGAUAAUUUUCAACUGAUCAAAAGAAGCUGUGGAACCACCAUCCUUUACAGAGGUUAGAUGAU
rnacentral:misc_RNA from 1 species